rnacentral:rRNA from 1 species
UACGUAGGGGGCGAGCGUUGUCCGGAGUUACUGGGCGUAAAGCGCACGCAGGCGGUCUGCUAAGUUUGGAGUGACAGUUGGUGGCUUAACUGCCAAAGUGCUUCGAAAACUGACAGACUUGAGGGCUUCAGAGGGACACGGAAUUCCGGGUGGAGUGGUGAAAUGCGUAGAGAUCCGGAGGAACGCCAAAGGCGAAGGCAGUGUCCUGGGGAGUACCUGACGCUCAGGUGCGAAAGCCAGGGGAGCGAACGGG